rnacentral:lncRNA from 1 species
GUUUUAAUAAAGCAUUGAAUACAAGGUUCGUCACAGCUAAUGUUGGUGAUUUGAAAGUGAAGUUAGGAACUGCUAUCAUAACUAGGUUAUAAUGCAUGUUGAAGUAAACAUAUAACAUUGAGUUGAACUAUAUUGAUUAUGUUUUUGGAUAUAUAUGUAGCUGUACAGUGAGAAGCCUAGUUUUGUUUAAUACGACAUUGAAAUAGGAAUUUCAAUUGCUAGUUGGGGGGAUUGUAGCGAUUUUAGUUUGACUGUAUAAAUAAUUAUUAUGUAAGAUGUCUUUCUUUUAAAUACGUUUGGGUUAAAUUACAUUUCUACAGGGCAAUGCCCAGUAUUUUUAUUUAUUUGAACGGUUUCUAUAUCAUUUAAAUUCACCGCCCG